UUAGAGUUUGAUCCUGGCUCAGGACGAACGCUGGCGGCGUGCCUAACACAUGCAAGCCGAAGGAAAGUGGCAACACGAGUACUUGGCGCAAGGGUGAGUAAUGUAUAGGAAUCUACCCUUCGGUCUGGGAUAACUUCGCGAAAGCGAAGAUAAUACCAGAUAUUGAGGAGACUUGAAAGAUUUUAUCGCCGAAGGAUGAGCCUAUAUCCCAUCAGGUAGUUGGUAGGGUAAUGGCCUACCAAGCCAACGACGGGUAGCUGGUCUGAGAGGAUGAUCAGCCACACUGGAACUGAGACACGGUCCAGACAUCUACGGAUGGCAGCAGUGAGGAAUAUUGCUCAAUGGGUGAAAGCCUGAAGCAGCAACGCCGCGUGGGCGAUGAAGGUCUUCGGAUUGUAAAGCCCUUUUGUAGGGGACGAAAAACUCGCUCAGCGAGCCUGACGGUACCCUACGAAUAAGCCACGGCUAACUCUGUGCCAGCAGCCGCGGUGAUACAGAGGUGGCGAGCGUUGUCCGGAUUUACUGGGUGUAAAGGGUGUUGUAGGCGGAUUUGCAAGUCGAGGGUUAAAGCCCUUCGCUCACGAAGGAAGUGCUCUCGAUACUGCAAGUCUAGAGUGCCGGAGGGGAGGCUGGAAUUUCCCGGUGUAGCGGUGGAAUGUGUAGAGAUCGG
rnacentral:rRNA from 1 species